rnacentral:rRNA from 1 species
GACUAACGCUGGCGUCGCGCCUAACACAUGCCAUUCUAACGAGCGAGCUAGAGCUUGCUUUCUCAUGCGAGUGGCGCACGGAUGAUUAACGCGUGAGGAACCUGCCUCAAAGAGGGGGACAACAGUUGUAAACGACUGCUAAUACCGCAUACGCCCACAGGUCGGCUUCUCCCAGAGGGAAAAGGAGCAAUCCGCUUUGAGAUGGCCUCGCGUCCUAUUAGCUAGUUGGUGAGGUAACGGCCCACCAAGUCAACGAUCGGUAGACGGACGGAGAGGUUGAACGGCCACAUUGGGACUGAGACACGGCCCAGACUCAUAAGGGAGGCAGCAGUGGGGAAUAUUGCACAAGGGGGGAAACCCUGAUGCAGCGACGACGCGUGGAGGAAGAAGGUCUUCGGAUUGUAAACUCAUGGUGUUGAGGAAGAUAAUGACGGUACUCAACAAGGAAGUGACGGCUAACUACGUG